rnacentral:rRNA from 1 species
GACGAACCGUGCGAACGUUGUUCGGAAUCACUGGGCUUAAAGGGCGCGUAGGCGGGCCGCUAAGUCAGGGGUGAAAGCCCACGGCUCAACCGUGGAAGUGCCUUUGAUACUGGCGGCCUGGAGGGAGGUAGGGGCGUGCGGAACUUCCGGUGGAGCGGUGAAAUGCGUAGAUAUCGGAAGGAACACCGGUGGCGAAAGCGGCGCGCUGGACCUCUUCUGACGCUGAGGCGCGAAAGCCAGGGGAGCAAACGGGG